rnacentral:rRNA from 1 species
GACGAACGCUGGCGGCGUGCUUAACACAUGCAAGUCGAACGCUGAAGCUCAGCUUUUGUUGGGUGGAUGAGUGGCGAACGGGUGAGUAACACGUGAGUAACCUGCCCCUUUCUUUGGGAUAACGCCCGGAAACGGGUGCUAAUACUGGAUAUUCACUGGUCUUCGCAUGGGGGUUGGUGGAAAGGGUUUUUCUGGUGGGGGAUGGGCUCGCGGCCUAUCAGCUUGUUGGUGGGGUGAUGGCCUACCAAGGCUUUGACGGGUAGCCGGCCUGAGAGGGUGACCGGUCACAUUGGGACUGAGAUACGGCCCAGACUCCUACGGGAGGCGGCAGUGGGGAAUAUUGCACAAUGGGCGCAAGCCUGAUGCAGCGACGCCGCGUGAGGGAUGGAGGCCUUCGGGUUGUGAACCUCUUUCGCUCAUGGUCAAGCCGCAACAAUGGUUGUGGUGAGGGUAGUGGGUAAAGAAGCGCCGGCUAACUACGUG